CUUAUUUCCCCUUUUCCUAAUGUAAAACUUACUACCUUAGAUGUAUUCUUGAGCAUGUAGCUUGUUUUUUUUAAACAUAUUCUCAGGAUUUCUAAACCGUUCCAUAUAAGUUCAUAAAGAUGGUUCUUAUUCCUUUUUUACAGCAGUAUGUAGUUCCAUCUGUGAAUAUAUUCGACUUCAUUCAGUGUUUUCUUGAUAGCAUGCAGGAUGAUUGCGGUAUUUUGCUGUUAUAAAUAAGGCUACAAAGAGCAACCUGUGUAUAUGUUUUAUUUUUUUCUUAUUAUUGGAAUGUGUACUCAGUAAAUGACUCAGAGGAGGCAGCUGAUAUCACAUUAUGUUGAUAGCAAAUAAAACUAGCACUCUAUUUUCAUUUUAGGAGACUUGAACACAAUGGCAGGGUUGGAAAAAGAACUGAGUAAUGCCAAAGAGAAACUUGAACUCACGGCUAAAAAAGAAAGAGAAAGUCAGGACCUGCAAAUACAACUGAUAAUCCUGAAGACAUACCACCUGUGGAACGCCUGACCCAGGAAACAUUACUUCUUUGGGAAAAAAUUGCUUCAGUAGAAUCCCAGGGUCAAGAAAUUUCAGGAAACCAAAGACAACAAUUGCUGCUGAUGCUAGAAAAAGAUUAGUAGAUGAACAGAGUCAGCUCAGUGAGGACUUAGACGCAAAGAGACAGCUCUCUAGCAGUCUGGUGAAGUUCCAUGCUUAUCCAGAGAGCCUGCCAACUUUCAAACUAGAACUUCCACCAUCAUCCCUCCUGGUCCUCAGGCCUUCAGUCUCCAGCAGCAGCUAUACCGUCAGCUCUCCUGGGUCUCCAGCUUGCUGCCUGCAGAUCUUGGGGCUUCUCAGCCUCCCAUCAUCACAUAAGUCAAUUCCUUCUAAUAAAACUUCUUCUGGCAUCUAUAAAUCUCCUGUUGGUUCUUUUUCUCUGGAGAAGCCUAAUACAGUGGGGCCAUGGAUCAACCCAGAGAGAAAGUAGGAGUGAAGCAGGGAGCCCCAUCCUAGCAGCUGGAUCCUAGGGC
rnacentral:lncRNA from 1 species